rnacentral:rRNA from 1 species
CAGCACCUCAAGUGGUCAGGAUGAUUAUUGGGCCUAAAGCAUCCGUAGCCGGCGCUGUAAGUUUUCGGUUAAAUCUGUACGCUCAACGUACAGGCUGCCGGGAAUACUGCAGAGCUAGGGAGUGGGAGAGGUAGACGGUACUCGGUAGGAAGGGGUAAAAUCCUUUGAUCUAUUGAUGACCACCUGUGGCGAAGGCGGUCUACCAGAACACGUCCGACGGUGAGGGAUGAAAGCUGGGGGAGCAAACCGGAUUAGAUACCCGUGUAGUCC